rnacentral:misc_RNA from 1 species
GCAAACUUGGUCAUUUAGAGGAAGUAAAAGUCGUAACAAGGUUUCCGUAGGUGAACCUGCGGAAGGAUCAUUAAAGAUUUAGUAGCCUUAUUUACCUCGUGUGCAGCCUUACCAAGUCUGAUAUCUUUGGAGAGAUCAAUCUUGUUUGAACUCUCCAAAGAGGUUAUCACAAUCAAUGGAUCUUCUUUACUCUUCCAUGUCUAAAUCAAUAAAUAUAAUUGAACAACUUUCAACAACGGAUCUCUUGGCUCUCGCAUCGAUGAAGAACGCAGC